rnacentral:ribozyme from 1 species
GGGGACAUAUUUUUGUUUUUGUUUUUUCCAUUCAAACUUUCAAGUUGUUGUUUCAUUAUUAUACCUUUAAUUGCUGCAGAUCAUCAUAUAUAUGAGAAUGAUCGCAGUAACUACAGAUUUGAUAUUUGUACGGGGGGAACCCAUUUUAAGAUUAGAA